GCGAUGCAUCAUAUAAAUUUCUGCCCUAUCAACUUUGGAUGGUAGGAUAGAGGCCUACCAUGGUAGCAACGGGUAACGGGGGAUUAGGGUUUGAUUCCGGAGAGGGAGCCUGAGAAAUGGCUACCACGUCCAAGGACGGCAGCAGGCGCGAAAAUUCCACCCUUGCAAUACGCAGAUGGAGUGACAAGAAAUAACGGAUUCGGGCCCACAGGGCCACGAAGAUUGGGAUGAGAACAACGUAAAGCGUUUAACGAAAGCAACUGGAGGGCAAGUCUGGUGCCAGCAGCCGCGGUAAUUCCAGCUCCAGUAGCGUAUACUAAAGUUGCUGCGGUUAAAAAGCUCGUAGUUGGAGGUCGGAGGUGAGGUGGGACGUGACCCUGCGAAGAAGCGGGGGAAGCGGAAGCCACACCUUCUAAGCCGGAGAUGUCUGAAUCUGCACUUUACUGGGCGGGAUUAGAGAUUCGGCGGAUUACCUUGAGGAAAAUAGAGUGUUCAAAGCAGGCGGAAACGCCAUGAAUAAGUUAGCAUGGAAUAAUGAAAGAAGACUUUGGUUCUUUAAACAUUGGUAGGAGGACCGGAGUAAUGAUUAAUAGGGACAGUUGGGGGCAUUAGUAUUCCAUAGUCAGAGGUGAAAUUCAAGGAUUUAUGGAAGACUAACUACUGCGAAAGCAUCUGCCAAGGAUGUUUUCAUUAAUCAAGAACGAAAGUUUGGGGAUCGAAGACGAUCAGAUACCGUCGUAGUCCAAACCAUAAACUAUGCCGACUCGGGAUUGGUAUGAGCACACGCGAGGCCAUGCCAGGACCGUAAGAGAAAUCAAAGUUAUUGGGUUCCGGGGGGAGUAUGGUCGCAAGGCUGAAACUUAAAGGAAUUGACGGAAGGGCACCACCAGGAGUGGAGCUUGCGGCUUAAUUCAACCCAACACGGGAAAACUUACCAGGUCCAGACACGGGAGGGAUUGACAGAUUGAGAGCUCUUUCUUGAUUCCGUGAGUGGUGGUGCAUGGCCGUUCUUAGUUGGUGGAGUGAUUUGUCUGCUUAAUUGCGAUAACGAACGAGACCUUAGCCUCUAAAUAGUUACUAGCACCCCGGUCAUUUAGAUCGCGGUUGUUGGGAAGAACUUCUUAGAGGGACAACCGGUGGUUAACCGGAGGAGGCGUGAGGCAAUAACAGGUCUGUGAUGCCCUUAGAUGUUCUGGGCCGCACGCGCGCUACAAUGGUGAAGUCAACGAGUGUGGAAUCCUAGGCCGAGAGGUCCGGGCAACCUUACGAAACUUCACCGUGCUUGGGAUUGACCUUUGCAAUUAUGGGUCAUGAACGAGAAAUUCCUAGUAAGCGCAAGUCAUCAUCUUGCGUUGAUUACGUCCCUGCCCUUUGUACACACCGCCCGUCGCUCCUACCGAUUGAAUCAUCGGCAAAAUCUCCGGACUAUGCUAUCGAGGCUGGCGCAAGCUGGAACUAGAUUGCGUAGGAAGUUGAUUAAACCUCAUGAUUCAGAGGAAGGAGAAGUCGUAACAAGGUU
rnacentral:rRNA from 1 species